rnacentral:misc_RNA from 1 species
GGGUUGGUGGGAACUCUGGGGUAUUUGGCUCCGGAAUACAUAAGCACAGGAAGGGCUAGUAAAUACUCUGAUGUAUACAGCUUUGGUGUGGUUGCGCUAGAAAUUGCGAGUGGUAGGAAGGCAACUGACUGCAUUCAAUAGAAAUCAGGAGUAAGUUUGGUAGAAUGGAUUUGGGAUCUAUAUGGAUGUGGAAAGCUUCAUUUGGGCAUUGACAAGAAGAUCCUUAUAGAUUUUAACGAGAAAGAAGUAGAAUGUUUGAUGAUUGUUGGAUUAUGGUGUGCCCAUCCUGAUUGCAACGCCAGGCCAUCAAUAAGACAAGCAAUUCAAGUGUUAAAUUUUGAGGCUGCGAUCCCUAAUCUGCCUGCUAAAAUGCCUAUUCCUACGUUUUGUGUGUCUACACCAUCCAUUACUUCCACUGAAGCUUCUAUCACCAAUUCGAGUCUUGCAGUGGGUCGUUAAUUAACUGCAUAUGUCUUCAAUCAUCUUGGCGUGUGCUGAACAUUAA